rnacentral:tmRNA from 1 species
GGGGCUGAUCGGUUUCGACAGCGCCUGCGAACCCGCGAGAAGCGGGCCGAGGAUGUGGGGUUAUCUCGUAAACGCUCCCUGCAAAACUAUAAGUGCCGAAACCAAGCGCACUGACUUCGCCCUCGCUGCGUAAGCGAGCCCGAUAGUCCGUCAGACCGUGUGUGACCCCGCCACGGAUUCUGGCGUCAUUUAGGGGUCUUGCUGUGUGACGGCGUCCGGACGUCACGCGGGACUUUUCCCGGACUGGGCCUGUCGACUUAGGUGUCUGUGACAAAGGUCGGGGCCGAGCAGAACGUCUGCACAGACUGCGCCCGGAGAAAACGCGGAGACCCAGCGUUGGACGGGGGUUCGAUUCCCCCCAGCUCCACGA